UACAGAGGUCUCGAGCGUUAAUCGGAAUCACUGGGCUUAAAGGGUGCGUAGGCGGUUCUGUAAGUGCUUUGUGAAAUCCCAUGGCUUAACCAUGGAAUGGCUCGGCAUACUGCAGAACUUGAGGUUGGUAGGGGUCGCUGGAACUCUAGGUGGAGCGGUGAAAUGCGUAGAUAUCUAGAGGAACGCCAAAGGUGAAGACAGGCGACUGGGCCAAUUCUGACGCUGAGGCACGAAAGCGUGGGGAGCGAACGGG
rnacentral:rRNA from 1 species